rnacentral:rRNA from 1 species
GAUGAACGCUGGCGGCGUGCCUAAUACAUGCAAGUCGAGCGAACGGACGAGAAGCUUGCUUCUCUGAUGUUAGCGGCGGACGGGUGAGUAACACGUGGAUAACCUACCUAUAAGACUGGGAUAACUUCGGGAAACCGGAGCUAAUACCGGAUAGUAUUUUGAACCGCAUUGUUCAAAAGUGAAAGACGGUCUUGCUGUCACUUAUAGAUGGAUCCGCGCUGCAUUAGCUAGUUGGUAAGGUAACGGCUUACCAAGGCAACGAUGCAUAGCCGACCUGAGAGAGUGAUCGGCAACACUGGAACUGAGCCACGGUCCAGACUCCUACGGGAGGAAGCAGUAGGGAAUCUUCGGCAAUGGGCGAAAGCCUGCCGGAGCAACGCCGCGUGAGUGAUGAAGGUCUUCGGAUCGUAAAACUCGGUUAUUAGGGAAGAACAUAUGUGUAAGUAACUGUGCACAUCUUGACGGUACCUAAUCAGAAAGCCACGGCUAACUACGUG